rnacentral:rRNA from 1 species
UACGUAGGGCGCAAGCGUUCUCCGGAAUUAUUGGGCGUAAAGAGCUCGUAGGCGGUUUGUCGCGUCUGCCGUGAAAGUCCGGGGCUCAACUCCGGAUCUGCGGUGGGUACGGGCAGACUAGAGUGAUGUAGGGGAGACUGGAAUUCCUGGUGUAGCGGUGAAAUGCGCAGAUAUCAGGAGGAACACCAAUAGCGAAGGCAGCUCGCUGGGACGUUACUGACACUGAGGCGCGAAAGCGUGGGGAGCGAACAGG